rnacentral:lncRNA from 1 species
AUGAACAAAGCUAGUGGAGGUCAUGGAAUUCCAGUUGAGCUGUUUCAAAUCCUGAAAGAUGAUGCUGUGAAAGUGCUGCACUCAAUAUGCCAGCAAAUUUGGAAAACUCAGCAGUGGCCACAGGACUGGAAAAGGUCAGUUUUCAUUCCAAUCCCAAAGAAAGGCAAUGCCAAAGAAUGCUCAAACUACCGCACAGUUGCACUCAUCUCACACACUAGUAAAGUAAUGCUCAAAAUUCUCCAAGCCAGGCUGCAGCAAUACGUGAACUGUGAACUUCCUGAUGUUCAAGCUGGUUUUAGAAAAGGCAGAGGAACCAGAGAUCAAACUGCCAACAUCUGUUGGAUCAUGGAAAAAGCAAGAGAGUUCCAGAAAAACAUCUAUUUCUGCUUUAUUGACUAUGCCAAAGUCUUUGACUGUGUGGAUCACAAUAAACUGUGGAAAAUUCUUGAAGAGAUGGGAAUACCAGACCAUCUGACCUGCCUCUUGAGAAAUCUGUAUGUAGGUCAGGAAGCAACAGUUAGAACUGGACAUGGAACAACAGACUGGUUCCAACUAGGAAAAGGAGUACAUCAAGGCUGUAUAUUGUCACCCUGCUUAUUUAACUUCUAUGCAGAGUACAUCAUGAGAAACGCUGGACUGGAAGAAACACAAGCUGGAAUCAAGAUUGCUGGGAGAAAUAUCAAUAACCUCAGAUAUGCAGCUGACACCACCCUUAUCGCAGAAAGUGAAGAGGAGCUAAAAAGCCUCUUGAUGAAAGUGAAAGAGGAGAGUGAAAAAGUUGGCUUAAAGCUCAACAUUCAGAAAACGAAGAUCAUGGCAUCUGGUCCCAUCACUUCAUGGCAAAUAGAUGGGGGAACAGUGGAAACAGUGUCAGACUUUAUUUUUGGGGGCUCCAAAAUCACUGCAGAUGGUGAUUGCAGCCAUGAAAUUAAAAAACGCUCACUCCUUAGAAGAAAAGUUAUGCUCAACCUAGAUAGCAUAUUCAAAAGCAGAGACAUUACUUUGCUGACUAAGGUCCAUCUAGUCAAGGCUAUGGUUUUUCCAGUAGUCAUGUAUGGAUGUGAGACUUGA